GCCUGGCUGGCUCAGUUGGAAGAGCAUGAGACUCUUGAUCUUGGGAUGGUGGGUUUGAGCCCCACAUUGGGUG
rnacentral:tRNA from 1 species